rnacentral:rRNA from 1 species
AUACGGAGGGUGCAAGCGUUGUUCGGAAUCACUGGGCGUAAAGGGCGCGCAGGCGGUUUGGUAAGUCAGAUGUGAAAGCCCACGGCUCAACCGUGGAAGUGCAUUUGAAACUGCCAGACUUGAGUACCAGAGGGGAAAGUGGAAUUCCCGGUGUAGAGGUGAAAUUCGUAGAUAUCGGGAGGAAUACCGGUGGCGAAGGCGACUUUCUGGCUGAAUACUGACGCUGAGGCGCGAAAGCGUGGGGAGCAAACAGGAUUAGAAACCCCAGUAGUCC